UACGGAGGGUGCAAGCGUUGUCCGGAAUUAUUGGGCGUAAAGCGCACGUAGGCGGUUCUUUAAGUCUCAUGGUGAAAGGCUGGGGCUCAACCCCAAGCAAGCCGGGGAUACUGGAGGACUGAAGACAGGCAGAGGCCAGCGGAAUUCCGGGUGUAGCGGUGGAAUGCGUAGAGAUCCGGAAGAACACCGGAGGCGAAGGCGGCUGGCUGGGCCUGAUCUGACGCUGAGGUGCGAAAGCGUGGGGAGCGAACAGG
rnacentral:rRNA from 1 species